GACAGAGGGUGCAAACGUUGCUCGGAAUCACUGGGCUUAAAGGGCGCGUAGGCGGGCGGUCAAGUCAGGGGUGAAAUCUUUCGGCCUAACCGGAAAAGGGCCUCUGAUACUGGCCGUCUCGAGGGAGGUAGGGGCAUGCGGAACUUCCGGUGGAGCGGUGAAAUGCGUAGAUAUCGGAAGGAACGCCGGUGGCGAAAGCGGCGUGCUGGACCUCUUCUGACGCUGAGGCGCGAAAGCCAGGGGAGCGAACGGG
rnacentral:rRNA from 1 species